rnacentral:rRNA from 1 species
CAGUCGAACGAUGAUCCGGAGCUUGCUCCGGGGAUUAGUGGCGAACGGGUGAGUAACACGUGAGUAACCUGCCCUUGACUCUGGGAUAAGCGUUGGAAACGACGUCUAAUACCGGAUAUGAGCUGUGACGGCAUCGUCUGCAGUUGGAAAGAUUUUUUGGUCAAGGAUGGACUCGCGGCCUAUCAGGUAGUUGGUGAGGUAACGGCUCACCAAGCCGACGACGGGUAGCCGGCCUGAGAGGGUGACCGGCCACACUGGGACUGAGACACGGCCCAGACUCCUACGGGAGGCAGCAGUGGGGAAUAUUGCACAAUGGGCGAAAGCCUGAUGCAGCAACGCCGCGUGAGGGACGACGGCCUUCGGGUUGUAAACCUCUUUUAGUAGGGAAGAAGGGAGCUUGCUCUUGACGGUACCUGCAGAAAAAGCACCGGCUAACUACGUGCCAGCAGCCGCGGUAAUACGUAGGGUGCAAGCGUUGUCCGGAAUUAUUGGGCGUAAAGAGCUCGUAGGCGGUUUGUCGCGUCUGCUGUGAAAUCUGGGGGCUCAACCCCCAGCCUGCAGUGGGUACGGGCAGACUAGAGUGCGGUAGGGGAGAUUGGAAUUCCUGGUGUAGCGGUGGAAUGCGCAGAUAUCAGGAGGAACACCGAUGGCGAAGGCAGAUCUCUGGGCCGUAACUGACGCUGAGGAGCGAAAGCAUGGGGAGCGAACAGGAUUAGAUACCCUGGUAGUCCAUGCCGUAAACGUUGGGAACUAGAUGUAGGGGCCAUU